rnacentral:rRNA from 1 species
AGACUUUGAUUAUGGCUCAGAACGAACGCUGGCGGCAGGCCUAACACAUGCAAGUCGAACGCGUGCCUUCGGGCACGAGUGGCGGACGGGUGAGUAACGCGUGGGAAUUUGCCUUGGGGUACGGAAUAACCGCGGGAAGCUGCGGCUAAUACCGUAUACGUCCUUCGGGAGAAAGAUUUAUCGCCCCAAGAUGAGCCCGCGUCCGAUUAGGUAGUUGGUGAGGUAACGGCUCACCAAGCCUUCGAUCGGUAGCUGGUCUGAGAGGAUGAUCAGCCACACUGGGACUGAGACACGGCCCAGACUCCUACGGGAGGCAGCAGUGGGGAAUAUUGGACAAUGGGGGAAACCCUGAUCCAGCCAUGCCGCGUGAGUGAAGAAGGCCUUAGGGUUGUAAAGCUCUUUCGGUGGUGACGAUGAUGACGGUAGCCACAGAAGAAGCCCCGGCUAACUCCGUGCCAGCAGCCGCGGUAAUACGGAGGGGGCAAGCGUUGUUCGGAAUUACUGGGCGUAAAGGGCCGCGUAGGCGGAUGAUCAAGUCAGA